rnacentral:lncRNA from 1 species
UAAAUUUAGAGUCCAAUUUUUGAAAAGGCCAAAAUGAGCUCUCCUAGCAUGAAGUGUGUCAGGACAAUAGGAGAUACAAACCUCAGAGGGCAGCUAACAGAGAGGGGGUGAAGAUGGGCUCCUUUGUAGCCAGAGAAACUGAGAGAGAGAGAGAGAGAGAGAGAGAGAGAGAGAGAGAGAGAGAGGGAGAGAGAGAGAAACCAGGCUUCUUUCUUUCUUCCUUUUAUUUCCUUUAAAUGUAAUAUCUUUUCAAAGUAAGCCUUUGAAGGAGUUGAGUAUCACACCCUCUGCUCUCUCUGCCCUGCUGCCUUUUAGACAUUGUUGUACCAGAGAAACAUUCAGCGCACUGUGGAGAAGCCAUGGGGUAAGUCUUCAUUUCCUCCUCUACACUCAGCCCCUAUCUGACUCCACGUGGACCAGCAGUUCUCAACCUGUGGGUUGCAACCCCACAUAUCAGAUAUCCUGCACAUUAGAUAUUUGCAUUACAAGUCACAACACUAUGGAAAUUACAGUUAUGAAGUAGCAAUGAAACUAUUUAUGCCUGCAGCUCACUACAACACGAGGAACUGUGGUAAAGGGUCACAGUGUUAGGAAGGUUGAGGACCACUGAUGUGGACUAAAGCUUGCUCCCAUCUGAGAGGACAUUUCAUGGCAGGAAGGAUACAGACAACCCACUGCAGUGGGCACUUUGUUAGCUCAAGGAAACUCAGGGGACCGAUGCUAUGAUGUCUGAUCUCCAUUGCCCACUAGACUGCAGACUCCCUUAAGUGACUGGUGAGGCACAUCUCUGGGUAUGUUUGAAACAGUGUUUACAGAGAGGAUUAAGUGAGAGGGGAAGACUGAAUGUGAACUGUACCGUGUCAUGGACUGGAGGUCUGGAGCAGAGUAAAAGGAAGAAAGGAGAAGCCAGUUGAGCAUCAGCAUCUGUCUUCUCUCUGCCUCCUACUCGAUGUGAGAUAAAGAAUUUCCUCUGCAUACAAUCCUGCCACUGUAAUAUUCUGCCCAAUUGCACAAGACAAACAACCAUGGCUUCUGGACCCUCUGACACCACGAGCCUAUACAAAUCCUUCCUCCGUUAGCCUUCAUCCAGCAGCUGGUGGAAGUAGAAGCAGACACCCACAACUAAUCACUGCACUGAACUGGAAUCCAGAUGCAGAGAAGGACGAGUGAAGAGCAAAGGGGUCCAGACCAGGCUGGUGAAACCCACAGAAACAGCUGACCUGAACAUCGGGGAGCUCUUGGUCCCCAGACUGAUAGCUGGGGAUACCAGCAUUGACUGAUCCAGACCCCAGGAACAUGGGUUUCAGUAAGGAAGCCUCAGAAAUCUACAGGACCUACUGUAGUAGUUCAGUACUUAUCCCUAGCAUAGGUGUGGACUUUGGGAGCCCAUUCCACAUAGAGGAAUACUCCCUGAGCCAAGACACACGGGAGGUGGGCCUAGGCCCUAUCCCAAAAGAUAAAAUAAACUCUGAUGACACCCUAUGGAAGGCCUCACCAUCCAGGGGGAGCAGAAAGGAUAUGUGAUAGGUAGGGUUUUAGUUGGGGG